rnacentral:rRNA from 1 species
ACGCUGGCGGCAGGCUUAACGCAUGCAAGUCGAACGGUAACAGGGAUUAGCUUGCUAAUUUGCUGACGAGUGGCGGACGGGUGAGUAAUGCUUGGGAAUCUGGCUUAUGGAGGGGGAUAACUACGGGAAACUGUAGCUAAUACCGCGUAAUAUCGGAAGAUUAAAGGGUGGGACUUUCGAGCCACCUGCCAUAAGAUGAGCCCAAGUGGGAUUAGGUAGUUGGUUAGGUAAAGGCUGACCAAGCCGACGAUCUCUAGCUGGUCUGAGAGGAUGACCAGCCACACUGGAACUGAGACACGGUCCAGACUCCUACGGGAGGCAGCAGUGGGGAAUAUUGCACAAUGGGGGGAACCCUGAUGCAGCCAUGCCGCGUGAAUGAAGAAGGCCUUCGGGUUGUAAAGUUCUUUCGGUGACGAGGAAGGUUGAUAGGUUAAUAGCCUAUCAAAUUGACGUUAAUCACAGAAGAAGCACCGGCUAACUCCGUGCCAGCAGCCGCGGUAAUACGGGGGGUGCGAGCGUUAAUCGGAAUAACUGGGCGUAAAGGGCACGCAGGCGGUGACUUAAGUGAGAUGUGAAAGCCCCGAGCUUAACUUGGGAAUUGCAUUUCAUACUGGGUCGCUAGAGUACUUUAGGGAGGGGUAGAAUUCCACGUGUAGCGGUGAAAUGCGUAGAGAUGUGGAGGAAUACCGAAGGCGAAGGCAGCCCCUUGGGAAUGUACUGACGCUCAUGUGCGAAAGCGUGGGGAGCAAACAGGAUUAGAUACCCUGGUAGUCCACGCUGUAAACGAUGUCGAUUUGGGGAUUGGGCUUUGAGCUUGGUGCCCGUAGCUAACGUGAUAAAUCGACCGCCUGGGGAGUACGGCCGCAAGGUUAAAACUCAAAUGAAUUGACGGGGGCCCGCACAAGCGGU